AGCGAACGUUAGCGGCGCGCCUAACACAUGCAAGUCGCACGAGAAAGGGAGCAAUCCCCGGUACAGUGGCGCACGGGUGAGUAACACGUAGAUGACCUUCCCUGGAGUGGUGGAUAACCUGCCGAAAGGCGGGCUAAUACAGCAUGGGACCACAUGGUUUUGACCGAGUGGUGAAAGCGGGCCUCUGUUCACAAGCUCGCGCUCUGGGAUGGGUCUGCGUCCCAUCAGCUAGUUGGUGAGGUAAUGGCUCACCAAGGCAUCGACGGGUAGCUGGUCUGAGAGGAUGACCAGCCACACUGGAACUGAGACACGGUCCAGACUCCUACGGGAGGCAGCAGUGGGGAAUCUUGCGCAAUGGGCGAAAGCCUGACGCAGCGACGCCGCGUGGGUGAUGAAGGCCUCGGUUGUAAGACCUGUGGGAGGAACGGACCGUACGGGGCGGAACGA
rnacentral:rRNA from 1 species